CCAACAUUUCCAUUUUAGGCUUGUAAGAUUAGAAAGAAUAAUUUGAAAAUAUGUCAAAAUUUUACAUUUUCUUUACAUUUUACAUUUUCUCAUAGGCCCAUGAGUGCAGAUUAUCUAGGAGUAGAUUUUUUUGGUUCCUGGGCCAUUUUUCUUUUCUUCCCAUGGAUUGUCACCCCUUGCCCAUUCGCUGGAGGUUAAAGAGUGUAUAAAACAAACUCACAGCAGUCUGCAUUAUUUUAGUAAAGGACUAAAGUUGAAGCGAAUGGAAGAUGGUAGGAAUAUAAAACCCAUACUAAAAUGAAGUGUUACUUAAGGUUACAUUGCAUGAAAGAAGCUUUGAUGGCUGAUAAGUGGUGUUGAGAAAGAAGAGUUGGGUAGUGCUUCAUUAGUGCUGUCCGUGGAAGAAGAUGUGACCCCUCUGGAAAGGGUGACCUCCAUACCCUGUGCUUGGUCUUCUCUUAGACCCUCGUUCAUCAGUGCUUUCCCCAUAACACACAUGCUCACACCCCUUCAUACACACAGGACAUACCCUCACCUCCACUCACCCCCACUCACACACACAGAUGCAGACACAAGCACACACGCUCAAACCUCUCACAUCCACUCAUACUCAUUUACGAAGAUGCACACUCAUACACACUCUAACACACACUUAUACCCAUAUGCAUAUACAACACUUUCUGUAAAGUGUGAUCUGAGGACAGGGUAUUUUUCUUUAGCAGAAUGAAGUGUAGAGGAGAUCUGACUGAUAAUGAGAUGAUUUGGUUAACUGUGUGAUUUUAGGCCGGCCCUUCCUCUCAUUGAGGCCUCAGUUUCCCCACCUGGGCAAUUAGGGCUAUGAACCACAUAAUGCUAAGUGUGUUUCUAGUCCCAGAGGAACAGGAAGAGAAUCUUUUUUCAUCAAGGUGCUCUCCCAACACUCCUGCACUGAGGAACCCAGAGGAAAUGCUGAAAAGAUUAAUGAGUGAAUGGAUAGAUGAAUCUGUUUCAGCCUUCCUGGUUAAUGAUUUUGUAACCUGCUGAGUUGGUCUGGUAUCUUCAGACCUAUUAUUCAGGGUGACUUCUUGUCAGCUUUUUCCAGUCUUCCAAAUGAUUCCCCUGGGCAUAGUGCCCAUCCCUCCUUCUUUCACCCCCAACUGGCGGUAAGCUGUGCUGGAGACCAGGCCCACACUCAGGGCUGUUUGGAGGUGGUGGUGAGGUUGCCACUCUGGCUGCAAACAACAGAAAAGUGAGUCACCUUGGGGCACUGAACUUAAAGGGAGAGGCAUCAGUGACUGCUGCUCGGCCUUCUAAAUGCCCAGGAUGCACAGGGUCGCUCCCCUUUCACAGUACUUUGCCAUAGGCAAUGUGCAUUCCGCAUGUUCACAGCUAUUAAUUACUUCAUUUGGUUCUGAUAGAGCUCUGAAAAGAAGAGAGUUCAAAUAUUCUUAUUGUGAUUUUUGAUAAAAGGUUAAGUGAUUUGCCUUUUGGUCACAGCUAAUGAGGAUUGGAGGUGAGGCUGCCAUGGAUGUUUUUGAUUGACAGACCAGAGUCUCUCCUGGAGCUUUUUAUCAUCUCUUAAGACUAUGGAUGCCUGAGACUCAUCCCCAGUGGUUAUGGGGCUUGUGGUCGCAGGGUGGGGAAUGAAUGGGAAUCCAGCUUGUUAGCUGAAUCCCCAGGAAACUGUAUCUUGUCCAGAGGACAGGACAUGCUUGGUGUGGCCAGGAAGCUGUCAGAUGUGGGAAGAACAUUGGGUUUCUAAUGCUGAGGUCUGGCUUGGAAUUCUACUUGACACUGGACUCACCCUCUAACACUCAACCUCUUCAUUUGAUCAUGAGGAAAAUGAAGCCUACCUUGCCUGGGAUAGCCCCCCUUGUAAACACACACACACGUGCACACACACACACACACAUGCCCAAGUAUUAGCUCAGGAAGGUAAUGUUUGAGAAAACCCUCAUUAUGCAUGUGAAGGAUUGCAUUAGUUAACUUCUGUUGUGGUAACGAACAGCCUCAAUGGCUCAUAACCAUUAAGCACUUAUUUCUUAUUCACAUUCAUGAGAGCUGCAGGUUAGUGAAGCUUUGUUGGACUCUGUUGGGCUGGACGGAACUGGGCUCUAUGUCCAGAAGAAAGGAGUAGCUACUCUCUGAGACAUGCUCUUCUUAUGGUAGAGGGUAGGAACAAAAAGGACAGAGCCAAAUCACACAAGUAUAUUUUUAACUGCUGCUCAGACAUGACUUAUAUCACAUCCACACUCUCAUUUUAUUGCCCAAACAAGUUCCUUCUCUUACCCUAAAAUCAGCAGGGUGGGAAAGUUUAUGCUUCACCUGCAGGGAAACAUGGACUGGGUGGAGAGGCAGUGAAUAAUUGUCAAUACUCAAUACAGUUUAUCAGAGGGGUGUUAUUAUACUGCCCACGGUUAUAGACCUCAUAAGCUACUACUCCAGGGGCUAAAUCAAACUCUCCAUUGUCUGACUGGGUGAUUGUCUUCUAGUCUGAGUGGUUUCAAUCCCACCCUGGCACUUUUGUGGCUGUUUCUGUCUCAGUGUUUCUUGCAGACCCUUCUUCUCUUCGGUCUUCUGCUCCAGCAACGCACAUGUCUCAGAAGAAAGGCUCUCACCUUCAGGGUCCAUGCAAUAUAAAUGUAAACAAGGAGAGGUAGCCAUAAAUCUCAGCAGCUUUUGUGAGUUCUUGGCACACCUAUCAUUCAGUUUGGCAUGGACAAACGUACUCAUGCUUCUCUUUGGCAAGAAGGACGCCUGCAAGGUGAGAGACCACAAAGAGAAGGGAGGGGACCUCAUGGCUGGGACCCGCAGCACCUGUGGUUACUGAGGGAGGCCUCAGCUAGCGUACAUUAAAAGAAUGGUUAGGAAUUGAGUUUCAGAGGGCUCAGAAUCCUGUAACAAGCCUCACCUUUGUGUGAUGGUGUGAUCUCUUCAGCAGACUUCAUCAUCAUUGGACAUGUUAUCACUGAACAAACUUUUAUCCAUACCUAAUAUCACUGUUUCAUGAGCACAUAUUAAGUGCCUCUUGGGGGCUGCAUCCAUCUCUAAGGCUAUGAAGAUGAACAAGCCCUGACCUGAAGGGCUCACAUUCUGAAGCUCCAGACAGAGUCAUGAUCCAUAGCUUAUAUCCCAGCAGAGGCCCAAUCAGAGACAUAUGCACAUCAUCCAGGGGUGACUCAGACAAGAAGUUCUCUUCUCCAACUGCCUUGUUCCUAUUUCCAUAAUGAUAAUAAUAACUAGCAUAUUCAGAGGACUUUAGUCUCUUUAUUUCAUUUUCUCCUUAUAAGUAACCCUAACCCCAGCAUACCUGACAGUGUAGCAGCAUGACAGAGAGACAGUCCUGGAAUUUUAAUCCUGACUCAGCCACUUAUUAGCUGUGUGACCCUAUGUGAGUUAUUUAACGUCUCUGAGCCUCAUUUCAUCAACUGUAGAAUUGGAAUAAUAAAACUUUAUUUUCAGAGGUAUUGUGAGAAUUAGAGCCAAAAUGUACGUGUUGCCUAACACAGUCACUGGCACAGUCUUUGCAUAGUGUCUACUUUCAGAAUGUUGUGUUUUCUAAAUUUGAUCACUUCCCACCAAUCUCACUGUAACAUCCUUUGCUAGUUACAUGAAUUCUAGCUGCUGCAACAAACAAACCUCUUGACUUCAAUGGUGUAACACAAGAGAAGCUUAUUUUCCCCUCAUAUCAGAGUGUAUGCAGGUGUUCACAAUUGGCAGGAAGCCUUCUCCAUGGGGGCUUCAGGGACCCAGGCCACUUCCAUCUCCUAAUUCUUCAGAGUUCACUGCUCCCAGCAGACAGGCAAAGAGAAAGCAGAGACGACAUGCUGCUUAUUAACCACCUUGGCCCAGAACUGAAAUGCAAUACUUCUAUGUAUAUUUCAUUGCCCAAAAAGUCAAUGUCCAUAUGUAAUGGCAAAGGAGGCUGGGAAAUGCAGUCUCCUUGUGAGUAAAGGGAGAAGGUUUAGGUGGUGGUCUCUGCCACACACCAUUUCUCCCUCAGAACACUGCAAAUGGUCUCCUUGCACUCACUGUCACCCCAGGAUAGGUAUCUCCACAUAGUAGCGAGAGGAAUCUUUUACAAGUGUGUGUUGUGUUAUAUUAUGCUCCUGUGCAAAACCCUUUAAAUCUUCUUCCACAUCCAUGAUAGAAUCUAGUCUCUUCGCCAUGGCCAGCAAGGACUUGCAAGAUCUGUCCCCUGCCUAUCUUUGAUCUUAUCUACUAUACUCUGCCUUUCACUCACUUUACUCUAGCCCUACAGAUCUUCUUCCUGUCCUCUAGAACAUGCUGGACUUAUUACCAACUCAGGGACUUUGCCCUUGCUGUCGCCUUAGCCUGUGACAAACUUCCAUCUUGCAUUCCUUUGGUUCUUUGCUAAAUAAAAUAUUGCCUUUCUAAAAAGGCCUUGUUUGACCUCUUAACUACUUCUCAUCAUUUAAAAAUUUGUAUUAGGACACAUUACAAACAAAAAGUUAUAGAGAAUAUUAAAGUGAAGAUCUCUACCAACAUUCAGCUUUAUCAAGGCUUAUAAUGAGGAUCUUUAUAAUUCAGUUUUGACUAUGGUCCAAAAUCAAUAUGAUGAGUGCCAAGUAGUUUCAUAUUCCAAAGCAGGGUGAUAGCAUUAACUGGUCACCCACCACCAGCUUAUAGAAUGGCUGAGGCUGAAGAGGUCUGAAGAGAGAAUUUCUUUGUAAAGAAUGGCUGGGGUAGUGGCAUGUCCUCUCCCCUGUCUGUGGAAGAAAGAGAGGAAUGUUUCCUCUUAACUUAAUAGAUGGUUGCAUUAUAGGACCACUCAGCCUGUCCUGUGUCUCUGGAGCUAAGGCAAUUGGAACUGUGAAGCUGAGCAGAAAACCUGGCUGGAGCUUGCAGCCUGGCAGCAGAGCUGAAGACUGUCUAGGGGAGGGAGUGCGUCUUCAGAGUGAGCUGCAUGUCAAGUGAUUGGGGAAGGGUGCACAUUCUCCCCAUCAGAUUUUGAUGUGAGGAAGGGAGCCAGUGUGGGCCCUACUCAAGAGGGCUACUAUGCAAGCUCCUGUUUCCUGUCAAUGACGUGUCUGGGAUAGAGGCUUUCCGUACAGCUUUUCCAUUGCUUUGUCUUCCAUUGGAGUCUCACUUCCUACUGGGUAGUUGGUGCUAGAAACUGGCCUCUCAAACAACUCCCUGUACAGUCUGAAACUUAGAUGAGUUAGAGCUUGAAUCUAAAUUGUUCAUUAUUCAGAUGAGGCUACUGCCAGGCACACACCAUAAAAGAUAGAGUAGUAGAGGGGAAGGCUCCCUCCCCUAGAGAACAGCCCUCCAUGUAUCUACAGCUGGUCCCCUGACUUGCCUUUGCAGUAAUAGAAAUUGAAUAGUGGUUGACUCUGUGUAAGAAAUGACUAGAAAGGGUCAUGAAGGAACUUUCUAGAGUGAUGGAAAUGCCAUCUAUUUUAUUAUGGGUGUUGGCUAAAUGGAUGUGUACAUGUGUCUAAUUUUGUUGAUAAAUUAUGAUUUGUGUGUAUGUUUGCAAUUUUAUUAUGAUGUGCCUAGGCUUGGCUUUCUUUGUAGUUAAUUCUACCUGUGAUUCAUAGAACUUUUUGCAUCUAAAGCUUGAUGUUUGUAACCACGUUUGAAAACUCUUCAUCUUUAUGACCUAAAAUACUCUCUUCUAUCCAAUUUUCUUUCCUCCUUUGAAACCACAAUUAUAUGUAUGUUAAUGUGGAGGACGCCAUGGGGGACUCCCUCAGCCUACACUACCUUAGUGCCCUUUUCAGCUAUACUCUUCCUGUGCCUUUGGGGAGCCCACAUACCUUUAGGUCUCCAUCCUAGGGCUGAAAGGUCUUGUUCUCAAGUCAACAAAACUCUACCUGUCAAAAUUUGUUUCAGGGUAAACACUCAAAAAAUGACCAUUCAUUAUCCUUCUUGUCCCAUGGGGAAGUUGCAUUGUCAUAAUAAGUCCUCAUACCCCAAAGGCAUCAUGACCCAGAGAGGUGCAGAUGCAUUGGCAGACUUUUACACACCAUGAUCUCUGAAAAGGAACCAUUGGGUAGAAAACAUUGUAGUUCCUGGUCCUUUGGGCAGCCAUUUUGCCUUCCUCCUUUGAAAUAUAGUCUCAUUUCAGUUAAUAAAAAUAGUAUUUGUACAUAAUUUUAUAAUUUUAAAGGUUAUUUCCCAUAGAUUUUAAAUAAUUCAAUGUUUAGAUGGCAUAUAAAUAAAUAUUGCUCUUUUAUAGAGAUGGAAGGUGAGGGUCUGAAUGCCUCCUGGUGUGCUGGGUGCCUUACAGACAUCACCACACUGGCUUAUCAGGAGAUGCAUGUUCGGUGGAGCUUCCCCAGCCUGCUCACAGCUACCCAGCCACUUGAUUGAGUACUGGGUUCCCCCUUGGGUCUAACACAAAAUUCACAACUUGCUAUCACACCACAGUUCCUUAGAGUCUCAGAGUUGGUAAAUGAUUCUAACCAAGGCUGACAGCAAGGUUACUCUAACCUAAAUAUGAUUUUCCUCCUUUCCCCCCAUUUUUACCUUUAUUAAGAAAAUAACAGUAUAAUAAUAAAGAAAAGAAAAGCAAGGGGAAAAAAUAAAUAAAUUUAUAUGUAAUACAAUUAUCCUAAAUCAACUGCUUUGAUUUUCCUGUCUCCUUCUAUUCCUUAUCCACAUGCCUUCAUAUUUUAUGUUCCUUUGAUGUACCCCAGAUAUCAUCCUGGAUUUCUUCUCCUGAUGUUACACCAUGGGCAUUUCUCCAUGUUGUUGUAUGAUCCUCGAUGUUUCCAUGCUCUGUGGCUGUAGGCUGUUCUGCUGCGAAUCACAAGCUUCCUCUGUUCUCUCACCCUGCUCAGCCUCCCCACAGCCUCCCACAGCUGGACAUCAGACUUCAAGAUGAAGGCACUGUGUCCCUCUGUGUGUUUAGAAGGGAGCACAUUUCUGAGAAGUCUCUUUUCCUAAGACCCCAAACUGGAACAUCAAAUAAGAACAAAUAUGUCUACAAUGAUUUUUACUAGGGUGGCUCAUCAACAGGUGAGCCUGUGCAAAUAUCUGCUUGUAACUGCUAUAUUGAAGUCCAGGAGGAAAUGGAAGGUAACGACUCUCUAAUGCCUUCAUUUGCCCAGACAUUCAGCAGGAACGGCAAUUUCACUUAGGGGAAAAUUUCAGCAGGAAUCAAUUUUUCUAAAUCAAAUUCAAGGGUCACUGAUUGUUAAGGCAACCAUGGGUACGCUAAUGAUGCUAUUCAUAGUUUGGUUAAUACGUAUGCAUAAUAAGAGAAAAUUAUUUACAGAGAUGAUGAAUUUAAUAUUGGGAGUGAAGCAGAUUUACAGCCUGGAAAAUGUAAUUGCUUUUUGAUAUCAAUUAAAGGACUGUUUCAAAAAUCAAUAAGAAUUUUAAAGAAUAGCAUGAGCUUGAAUGAAUGAUAAGUAACUUGAAAGCAAUUUUAAAAUCUUACAGUGAACAAUUCUCCUGAGCCCCAUGAAGGGCCUUAUGGGCCUUUGAGGAAUAAGGUAAGAUUUUUAAAAGUUUCAUUGAUUCAAAAUGAAAGCAAAGUUUGCACACACCACUGAACUGCCACUUCUGUUGCUACAUAAAGCCAUGUUGGACAUGGAGCUCUGGGAGUGAUGAAUCAGAGGGAACUGGAGAGCUUGGGAGUAGGUGCCUUGUAAGCUGGAGCCAAAGAGCUGCUAAGGAGAACAAGGCCUGAUUAGGGGGAUGAGGGGAAGGUAGGCAGCCCCUCAGUUCCGGAGCUGAGCAUUGGAAGACAGGGCAUCCAAGAGAUAUCAAAGCAUCAAAGGCAUAAAAUUUUGUCACUUCACUGACAUCCAUUGUGCAUCUACCAGAUGGAGGCUCCUUGAUAGGCUCUGCAGAGACAGGGAUGAGCAAAACAGGGCCUUGUCCUUGAGGGGUUUGUGGGUUGGAGGAGAAGGCAGAUGUACAGACAGCAACAGGAUGAUGAAACAAGUGUUCCAAUUUAUGGAGAACUUACUAAUAUUACUACUACAUAACAGGCAAUGCACCAAGCACUUAGCAUGCACUGUUCAUUCAGUCCUCAUAAGAAGCCAAUUAUCUCCAUUUUACAGAUUUUAAAAAUGGAGACAAAAAGAAGUUAAACAAUCUGCCCAAGAUUACUUGACUAGUAAGUGCAAGAACUGGAAAUCAAACUCAAGCAUUUUGUUUUUGUUGAAGGAGAUAACACAGUGGGAUUUAAGCCUUGAACCUUUGUUUUGUGAUGCCAAAGUAAUGGCCACAAGACCAAGGAGAGGCCCAUAAAGGUGAAUGCCCAAUGCUGUAGGGUUGCCCAGGAGAAAGAGAAUCACUUGGCCUGGAGGAGGUAGGGGAAGGCUCAGCUAGCCAAAUUUCCCAGAGGCAAUGGCAUUUGACCAACUUUUCAAAAAUGAGUGGGCAUGGGAUUGGCAAAGAACAUAAGGAGGGAUAUUUUACAAGGACAGAAUUAUAGCAUAUGCAAGGAGGCAAACAUGAGCCAUGGGAUGGCAGAAAAUAUUCUCUCUGAGUCAUCUCAAACAAUUGGUAU
rnacentral:lncRNA from 1 species